AUUGAACGCUGGCGGCAUGCCUUACACAUGCAAGUCGAACGGCAGCGGACCUUCGGGUGCCGGCGAGUGGCGAACGGGUGAGUAAUAUAUCGGGAACGUACCUUUCAGUGGGGGAUAACGUAGCGAAAGUUACGCUAAUACCGCAUAUUCUGUGAGCAGGAAAGCAGGGGAUCGCAAGACCUUGCGCUGAUUGAGCGGCCGAUAUCAGAUUAGCUAGUUGGUGAGUAAAGGCUCACCAAGGCGACGAUCUGUAGCGGGUCUGAGAGGAUGAUCCGCCACACUGGAACUGAGACACGGUCCAGACUCCUAC
rnacentral:rRNA from 1 species